AGCAGUAUGGUGCAGUGGUAAGGCAUGGGGCUUGUAACUGAAAGGUCGCUGGUUCGAUUCCCCCACUGAGGUACUGCUG